GACAGAGGUGCCGAGCGUUAGGCGGAAUCACUGGGCUUAAAGCGUGUGUAGGCGGGUGCCUAAGUACCUUGUGAAAUCCCACGGCUCAACCGUGGAACUGCUGGGUAUACUGGGUGCCUUGGGUCAUCUAGGGGCUGCCGGAACAAAUGGUGGAGCGGUGAAAUGCGUAGAUAUCAUUUGGAACGCCAACGGCGAAAGCAGGCAGCUGUGGAUGCACCGACGCUGAGACACGAAAGCCAGGGGAGCGAACGGG
rnacentral:rRNA from 1 species